GUGGGUUUCCACGGCGGAAGACGUCAUCCUGCACAAGCUGGUCUGGAAUCGCAUCUCGCCUUCCAACCGCCAGCUCGGCGACGCGGCGGGUGUGGUAGCCGUGCAAGCCGAUACCUUGGACAAAAACUAUUUGAGGCACUGGGCGCAGGAACUGAAACUCGCCAGCGAACUGGAACGGCUCCUGAGCGGUGAAAUCAAACCCAAGCAAACUUGAAAUGCAACGAACCGGCCGGUUCGUGCCUCGCCUUUGACUUGUCGCGCCGAAGCAUCGCGAAGGCGGAACCACUCGCGUCUGACCGCCCGACCUGCUAGAACACGCCCAUGUCGAAGCUGGAACUGAACCCCCACAAGUCAGUCCGUAAUCCCGACUUCGCGCGGCGCAACAUGGUAGCCGACUCUUUGAAAAAACGGCAGUUACUCAAUGCAUAAUAAUCAGUCCAACAAGUUCGUCUGCGCCUCGUGCCUAGAGGAUGAGGUGCUUCAAAAUUUCGUAAGACAGAGUGG
rnacentral:misc_RNA from 1 species